CAGUAGCCACGGUAAUACGGAGGGUGCAAGCGUUGUCCGGAUUUAUUGGGUUUAAAGGGUGCGUAGGCGGCCUAAUAAGUCAGUGGUGAAAGCCUCCAGCUUAACUGGAGAACUGCCAUUGAUACUGUUAGGCUUGAGUAUACUUGAGGUAGGCGGAAUUGACAGUGUAGCGGUGAAAUGCAUAGAUAUUGUCAAGAACACCAAUUGCGAAGGCAGCUUACUAAAUUAUAACUGACGCUGAGGCACGGAAGUGUGGGUAUCAAACAGGAUUAGAUACCCCAGUAGUCCCUGUCUCUUAUAC
rnacentral:rRNA from 1 species